rnacentral:misc_RNA from 1 species
AAUCUUGCUUUGAGAAAGUACUUCUAGGUCAUUUAUUUAACUCAAUCCUACCGAAGUCGUGACUAUUCAAGACUUUAAAGUAUCCUUCGCGCUGAAUUUUAAGAAUUCAAACUUAACCAAAUUAAUGAAUGUUAAAUACUACUAUUGUCAAGUACCUGCGCAUGGACAUUUUGUAGAAUAAAGAUGUGUGAACGUAAAAGGUGAUGUCGAUGCCAACACAGUAUCGCGCUUCUGUAAAAAAUAUUUUCCUUACACACGAAAGGAGCCAAUAAAGAUACUCAUUGGGAAAAACUGAAAUUUGUCACUAAUCUUUACGACCAGCUACAUUUGCGCAGACUGUCAGAAGUUCCGUGGUUCUGACACGGCAGAACAGUUAAAUAACAGUCCAGUAUUAACUUUCCUAAACCAGAGACAUUUCUAUAGAGAUUUUUGCCUAAACAUCCGACUCUUUCAUAUGAACAGUUUCUAAUGAUAUUGCUAGCCUAAAAUAUUUUCAUGAAGACUACCGCAACAGCAGUUUAUUCGAAGGGUUCAAUUAAUAAGCACACGCUUGGUAGUAAUUAAAUAAAAAUAGAAAGAUCAAAAGUAGCACGAUGUCUGUAUAUUUUGCGCCGUUUCCUUUGUUAAACGGGUGUUUAUUGAUUGGAUGAUUUUCUCGCAGAUAGGAGACUAAUUAAAAAAAAAAGUAUAAAAAGGUAGUUUGGGUCUUUGAGCUUCAUUCUGAAUCCUGAAGUCUUCUGACUGGUACAGAAAAUUAGUGAAAACUGAAACAUGAAGGUUUGUGUUAUUCUGGUUGUCGUCGGCAUAGCCAUGGCGAGUGCGGAAUACGAUCGCAGGGAGGCCUCUCCAGGUUGGGUCCGGGACGCCGAAGAACGCAGAGAAGCCUCUCCAGGUUGGUACCAUGUCGCCAAGGAACGCAGAGAAGCCUCUCCAGCUUGGUUACCGGACGCCAAGGAACGCAGAGAAGCCUCUCCAGGUUGGGGACCAUAGGCCUCCGAAAGGCACAGGCUUGUUGGUGUUGUCAAAUGCGACAGUUAGCCUGCAUGCAAAGUAUUUCACUUCACGAGAAGGCUUUUUUCUAGAUUUAAAAAAAAAAUCAGUCGUAAAGUUGCUAAAUGUAGACAAUCCCCUUCUCAUCUCGACUCGAAAAGUAACAAUGUCAUUGAAAAAUUCAGUAAACAAAUCAAUAAAAGUGAGAGACAUGUA